GGGGAUGUGGCUCAGUGGUAGAGCGUCCGCUUUGCAUUCUUCAUGCAUGCGGAAGGCCCAGGUUUCGAUCACCUGCUUCUCCA
rnacentral:tRNA from 1 species